rnacentral:rRNA from 1 species
CCCUUAGAUGUUCUGGGCCGCACGCGCGCUACACUGAUGAAUUCAACGAGUACUAACCUGUGCCGAAAGGUUCGGGUAAUCUUGUGAAAUUUCAUCGUGAUGGGGAUUGAUUAUUGCAAUUUUUAAUCAUAAACGAGGAAUGCCUAGUAAGCGUGAGUCAUCAGCUCACGUUGAUUACGCCCCUGCUCUUUGUACACACCGCCCGUCGCUCCUACCGAUUGAAUGUGCCAGUGAAAAGUUAGGAUUGGGCGUGGGAGACGGCAACGUAUUCCACAUCCGAGAAAAUCUUUAAACUUUCCCAUUUAGAGGAAGGAGAAGUCGUAACA